rnacentral:rRNA from 1 species
GACGAACGCUGGCGGCGUGCUUAACACAUGCAAGUCGAGCGGUAAGGCCCUUUCGGGGGUACGACGAGCGGCGAACGGGUGAGUAACACGUGGGUGACCUGCCCUCAGCUCUGGGAUAGGCCUGGGAAACCGGGUCUAAUACUGGAUAUGACUCCAUGACGCAUGUUGUGGGGUGGAAAGCCUUGUGCGGCUGAGGAUGGGCCCGCGGCCUAUCAGCUUGUUGGUGGGGUGAGGCCUACCAAGGCGACGACGGGUAGCCGGCCUGAGAGGGCGACCGGCCACACUGGGACUGAGACACGGCCCAGACUCCUACGGGAGGCAGCAGUGGGGAAGUCUUGCGCAAUGGGCGAAAGCCUGACGCAGCGACGCCGCGUGAGGGAUGACGGCCUCGG